rnacentral:rRNA from 1 species
UGGGGAAUCUUGCGCAAUGGGCGAAAGCCUGACGCAGCCAUGCCGCGUGAAUGAUGAAGGUCUUAGGAUUGUAAAAUUCUUUCACCGGGGACGAUAAUGACGGUACCCGGAGAAGAAGCCCCGGCUAACUUCGUGCCAGCAGCCGCGGUAAUACGAAGGGGGCUAGCGUUGCUCGGAAUUACUGGGCGUAAAGGAGGCGUAGGCGGAUCGUUAAUGCAGAGGUGAAAUCCCAGGGCUCAACCCUGGAACUGCCUUUGAUACUGGCGAUCUUGAGUAUGAGAGAGGUAUGUGGAACUCCGAGUGUAGAGGUGAAAUUCGUAGAUAUUCGGAAGAACAACAGUGGCGAAGGCGACAUACUGGCUCAUUACUGACGCUGAGGCGCGAAAGCGUGGGGAGCAAACAGG